UACGGAGGGUGCGAGCGUUGUCCGGAAUCAUUGGGCGUAAAGGGCGCGUAGGUGGCCCGGUCAGUCUUUGGUGAAAGCGCGGGGCUCAACCCUGCGUCGGCCAGGGAUACUGCCGCGGCUCGAGCACUGUAGAGGCAGGCGGAAUUCCGGGGUGUAGCGGUGAAAUGCGCAGAUAUCAGGAGGAACACCGGUGGCGAAGGCGGGUCUCUGGGCCGAUACUGACGCUGAGGAGCGAAAGCGUGGGGAGCGAACAGG
rnacentral:rRNA from 1 species